rnacentral:lncRNA from 1 species
CAGCAGUAAUAAAUGCAUUUUCAUCUUCUCUUAACGUUAAAGCUUCAGCCUGCCUUGGAUGAAGUGAAGUUUGUUUCUAUCACAAUUCCCAAGCAAGAGAGGGAUGUUCUGUUUCCUAAUUCCAGAGAUUUUUCGCCCUUUGGAUUAAAUGCAUUUCUGACUAUGCUACAAAACAGCAACGAUUUAUAUCAAACGAGCAAUAGAAAAGGCAAAUGGAAAGAUACAGUGGAUGAUAAAAAGAUAUUGCUACAUCAUCUCUUCCAAAGAAAUCUUCAUUCCUAAUUACAAGAAUA